rnacentral:rRNA from 1 species
GGUAGUCCACGCCGUAAACGAUGGGCGCUAGGUGUGGGAGGUGUCGAUUCCUUCCGUGCCGAAGCUAACGCAUUAAGCGCCCCGCCUGGGGAGUACGGUCGCAAGACUAAAACUCAAAGGAAUUGACGGGGCCCGCACAAGCAGCGGAGCAUGUUGUUUAAUUCGAUGCGACGCGAAGAACCUUACCUAGGCUUGACAUGUUGUGGAAAACCGUGGAAACACGGUCCCUCUUCGGAGCCGCAUCACAGGUGGUGCAUGGCUGUCGUCAGCUCGUGUCGUGAGAUGUUGGGUUAAG